GAUGAACGCUGGCGGCGUGCCUAAUACAUGCAAGUCGAACGAGGUGCUUGAGUAGCAAUACGAGAGUAUCCUAGUGGCGAACGGGUGAGUAACGCGUUGGUGACCUACCCCAAAGUGUGGGAUAACAGUUCGAAAGGAUUGCUAAUACCGCAUGUGGUCUUCGGAUUUAGAAACUGAUGACUAAAGGAGCAAUUCGCUUUGGGAGGGACCUGCGUCCCAUCAGCUAGUUGGUGAGGUAAUGGCUCACCAAGGCUACGACGGUAGGGGACCUGAGAGGGUGACCCCCCCACAAUGGAACUGAAACACGGUCCAUACACCUACGGGUGGCAGCAGUAGGGAAUAUUGCACAAUGGGCGAAAGCCUGAUGCAGCAACGCCGCGUGUGCGAUGAAGGCCUUCGGGUCGUAAAGCACUUUUCUGAGGGAUGAGCAAGGACAGUACUCAGGAAUAAGUCUCGGCUAACUACGUGCCAGCAGCCGCGGAAU
rnacentral:rRNA from 1 species